UAAAUGACAUUCUGGGAGAGAGAGUCCUCGGGAGCCAAAUUCUAAUUACACAAAUGAAAAUAGAGAAAAGAUGAUAAAUCAGCUACAUAUUUUGCCUCUCAGCCUGUGUGCUUCCCCGUUUAUCUCUGAUCGCACCACUUCUACUGUGGUGAGAUCCAGGGAAGGCUUCCCUCACACUCUGAACGUCUAUGUGGGCUUAUCUUCCUCCUGGAUGGGUCCAGCUGCUCUCACCUGAGCCGAAGAAGACUCGACAAGGAAAGGUCCUGCUUCACGCCCACUGCCCACAUCAAGGAGAAUGAGCUACGCUGCCUUAGACUUGGAGCAGACGAUGGCCACUGUGGCUCUCGCUCCUCUCUAUGAACUGUCUGGUGCUUGGGUCGUCGCUGUUGUCAUGCAGAGAUUCAGAUGCCUAGUGUCUCUCUUGCAGUUAUCUUUUUUAAGUGUACAGAAUCUUUGAGUAAACAAUGAUAUUCAGCUCAAUCACAAAGUAAAACCAACUGGAGAGCGUUUGUGUGCAAUGCCGUAUUGUCCGACGGCCCUGUGAUGUGUCUGGGCGUGGCUGACGAGAUGUAGUACAGUGUCAGAAGCCGAGGAGGAAAAGGGUAAGUAGAAGGAAAGCGUGCUUUACCGGGUGGUAGAUGGGGCAGAAGCCGGAGAGGUGGACGGGGAAGAAAAGGCCAUUGGAUUUGGAACUCUGAUAGCUUUGGAAACAGCUUUGUCAGUGGAGUGAUAUGAUGGGAAGUCAGAUGGCACGGAGGCAAGGAACCUCACUCUCUAACCAUGGAGCCACCUAGCUGCCCACCCCAUGAGCUUUUCAGAAAGGAUACUAAAAUGGUUUCUUAUUUCCUUCUCUAGUGGAUAAAGGCAAGCAGAAGCUCCCUGAGAUGGUCAGCAAUUUGCUAUAGUUUAUAUAUGUGCUGUCAUGGAUCCAUAUUUAUCAUGCUGUAGAAGAAGACAUAUCACUGAAAGAACAAAGGAAGUAAUAUUGAAGAAAAUAAAGUAAAAAACGGUAUGCUUCAGUGUGCAUUGAGAUGCCAUCAGUUCUCUCUCUGGGGGUGAAAAGAAUUUUUUCAUCAUGAGCCCUUUGGAGUUGCCUCGGAUCAUUGCAUUGCUGACUCCAUAGCUAAGUCAUUCACAGUUGAUCAUCACAAAAUAUUGCUGUUACUGUGUAUAAUGUUCUGGCUCUGCUCACUUCACUUUGCAUCAGUUCGUACAGAUCUUCCUAGGUUUUUCUGAAACCAUCUCCUCCAUCAUUUCUUACAGCACAAUCAUAUGCCACGACUUUUAACCCUUUCCCCCCUGACAGGCUCAAUUUCCACCACAAGAGCUGCCAUAAAUAUUUGUAUGCAUGUGAAAUCCUUUCUUUCUUGGAUCUUGUUGAGUUAUUGUAGAGAUCUGUCAGGUCAAAGGAUGUGCACAGUUUAAUAGCUUUUAGGUAGAGUUCCAAAUUGCUUUCCAGAAUGAUUGGACUAAUUCAAAGGUCCACUAACAGUGUAUUAGUGAGCCUAUUUUCCCAUUUACCUCCAUCAUUUGUCAUUUUCUUUCUUUUUUCUUUUUUUUUGUUUUGCCAUCUUGUCCAACCUAAUAGGUAUGAAAUGGAAAUUCAGAGUGUUUAAAUUUGCAUUUUCCUAAUUAUUAGUGAUUUAGAACAUCUUUUAUAUGAUUAUUGAGAGCUUGGAUUUUUUCCUCCUCAAAAUGCCUAUUCAUAUCCUUUAACCAUUUGCCAAUUUGAGAUAAUAAUAUUUUCAAAUGCACAAAAUAAAUGUUGAUGAUGUCUCACAUUCUGGAAUCCGUGUUCCCGCCAAAGGCUUUAUUCCUUGGUCUAGCAGGCAUUCAUUCCUUCACUUAUAUCGAUGAUUAUGUAGGCUGUCCAUCCUAAUGCAUGUUGACUUCUGCGCAAUAGACAUUCUUUGUCCAGUUGGUCUUUCUUGUGUAGUUGGACAAGCCAAACCCUUUGACUGAUUUUAAACUCUUCCCAGAGGCUCCGAAAUGUCAUUGGGCUUGACCUUUCCGCAUGAUAUCAUCAGCACAUGGAUUAUUUGGAGGUCCUUUACUACCCCAUGGGAAUCUUUUAGACUCUGACCUGGGGCCCUUGUAUCCCAACAGCUAACACUGGACAAAGGUUCCUCUUCUUGUUUUAUGCCUCAUCCAAUGUUUAUGAUCAGAAGGUCAUUGAAGAGGAUUAUUUCUUUUGCUUUUUUUUUUCAACCCUUACCUUCUGUCUUAGAAUCAAUACUAUGUGUGGUUUCCAAGGCAGAAGAGUGGUGGUAAGGGCUAGGCAAUGGGAGUUAAGUGACUUGCCCAGGGUCACACAGCUAGGAAAUGUCUGAGGUCAAAUUUGAACCCAGAAUCUCCUCUUUCCAGGUCUGAUUCUCAAUCCACUGUGCCACUUAGCUGCCCCUCUUUUGUUUGAUCCUUAAGGAAUUUCAAGUGAUUUUUAUGUAUAUAUGGGAGAUACCCCAUUGUUCUAUUAUAUUAAAUUUUGCUUUCUAAUCAACAACAACAAAAAACAACUAUAAUGGCAAAGAUUAGAUUUAUGGCCAAAUGUCUCUUAGGAAAGUCUUCUUGUUUCAUAAUAAUACAGUUGUCAAUGAUGCCCUUGCUUCUAGUAUAUUUUUUUAAAUAUGUUUUAUUUUCUCAAUUAUAUGGAGUAAGUUUUCUUCAUAGGUUUUUUUAAAUUAUAAGAUACAAUUAUAUUGUCUCAUUUUUUUCUCUCUCCACACUCCUGGAGAUGGUAAGCAAUUUAACCUGGGUUAUACAUGUAUUAUCAUACAAAAUAUACUUCUAUAUUCUUCCUUGUCAAAAGAGAAUACUCCUAUAAAAUCAAAGCCCCAAAUAAAAAAUGAAACUACACUAAAAUGAAAAAUGGUAUACUUGAUCUGCCCUCUGACUCCAACAGUUGUUUCUCUGGGAGUGGAGAGCAUUCUUUGUCCUAAGCCCUUCAGAAUUGUUCUGGAUCAUUGUAUUGUGGAAAGUAGACCGUUCCAGAUCCUGGUACAGAUGCUUUGCACCUCUUCAGGAGAUCCUGGGUAGCAAAUUCAAUGGAGGCGAUUUAUUGAGUGAAGAGUUCUUGGAAAAGCCACCUAUAAAGAGGGAUAGAUGAUAGAUGGGCAACUCUAUUGAUGAUAUUAGAUACUAUAGAUUAACUAAGAGGCUAAAACUUCAGUGGAGUGAGGGAAUAGUGCUGUUUGGACAGAGAGAGAAAAAAAUAAUUAUGGGAUACUUGGUUCUAGGGUUUUCUAGAUCUGUUUCCAGGCUUUGAAUGAAUGAAUGAAUGAAUAAAUAGUAGAUCCUUGAAGCCAAUGACUAUAUUUUAUUCUUAUACCUUGAAGCAUAUAGCAGCACAGGGUAAUGCACAUUGUAAGAGCCCAAUAAAUUUUUAAAAUUUUAUUCUGCUUCAGACAAGCCUCUUGUCCUCUCUGUAGCCCAAUUUUCUCAUCUGUAAAAUGGAAAUAAUAAUAGAUGUAUCACCUAGUUUACAGGCUUCAUGAAAGGAUGAAAUGAGUUAUUAAAUUCAUUUUAAAAAACCAAGAUACAACAUACAUAUACAUAAAAUAUUUUCAAUAAAACAGAACAAUGAUGUGACAGCUACAAUUUGGAAUAGGAGGUAACCCCCACCAAUAUCCAAAAAGGAAAAAAGAAAAACAAUAGUACCUACUGAUAUUUGGAAAUAAUUGAAACCUAUUGUUGGAAACUAGGUAGUUUAGGAAAUAUGGUAACGGGAUAGGGAGCCUUUCAUCUUGAGGUCACUGGUUCAUAUCCUCCAGGUUUGUAGAAAUUGAGAAGUUUGCCAGUAGAAAACUGCUCUGCAUAGGGAAAGAAAUGAAAUGGAGAGGGAACUUAGGGUAGAAAUGAAUAAUAGAAUUAGUAAAACUGCAUCAAUUAUCAAGCUGACUUAGGGCAGGAACUAGUGUCAUAAGAGAAGCCGUAGAUUGGAGACAGGGUGCCUUGGAAUGAGGGAGGAUAGCCAGGAAUGUUGACAGAGACUUAAUUCCUUGGUAUAAAUGGCUUCAUUCCUCCUUUUGACAACUUUUUAAAAGCCUUACCUUCUGUCUUAGAAUCAGCCACUAAGUAUUGAUUCCAAGACAAAAGAGUGUGAAAUGUUAAGCAGUUGGGGCUAAGUGGCUCACCCAGGGUCACACAGCUAAAAAGAGUCUGAGGUCAUGGUGGAACCCAGGAUCUCCCAUCUGCAGAUGUGGCUCUGUCCCCUGAAUCGCCCCACAUCUGACAAUUUAUUAAAGGUCUUUCCUGUGCAAGGUGCUGUGUUAGGAAUCAUUCAAGAUACAAAAUAUGUAAAUCAUGUCCCUACUCCUUAGGAGUCAUUCUGGGGAUGUUGGGGGCAGAGGAGAGGCAGAAUGGGGCAGUGAAGAGUCCAGUGUCGCCCUGUUGAGGAAUAGCUCAGACAGUCACUAUGUCUGAUUUCCACCAUUGUUAUACUGGGGAAAUUAGACUAAAGUGAACAUCAAACAUUUCCAUGAAAUAAAAAUAUGGCAGCCCAAAGGAGAAGGUGUUGCAUGCUUUUUUUUCUUGGUGGAUGGGUUUGGUGAUGAUAGGCUAUGGCUAGUCGUUAGAGAUCUGAUCUUGUUGGCCCAUACUGGCUCUUACCAACUCCUUCCUGAGAGGCUCUUCUCAACCCAUCCAUAGGGUCCCUAGACGAGGUUUGCUCCUGGAGGAGCUUGGUCUCCAAUAAGAAAGGCGGGCAAUGGUACCUUUAUCAUACUCUUUGACUCAUUACAUACGCACUCCAUGAUUCUGGGGACAAUGUCCUUCGUUUAGGACCAGGACCAUAGGGGGGUCGUCCCAAAAGAGGUGAGUGGAAAACUCAGUUGAUAAUAUGGGGGUGGUAUUUAUUUCCAACAC